rnacentral:rRNA from 1 species
AGUGGAUGGGGAGCAACCUAGUUGUGCGUGUGUAAAGGUAGUGCCAAGAAAAGCGGUGAUCAUGAUGAAAAUCAAUUCCCGGUACCCGAAACCGACACAGGUGGGCAAGUAGAGAAUACUAAGGGGCGCGAGGUAACUCUCUCCAAGGAACUCGGCAAAAUGACCCCGUAACUUAGGGAGAAGGGGUGCCACCGAGAGGUGGUCGCAGUGAAGAGGCCCAGGCGACUGUUUAGCAAAAACAUAGGUCUCUGCAAACUCGAAAGAGGAGGUAUAGGGGCUGACGCCUGCCCAGUGCCGGAAGGUUAAAGAAGUUGGUCAGUCUUAGGAUGAAGCUAGCGACUGAAGCCCCGGUGAACGGCGGCCGUGACUAUAACGGUCCUAAGGUAGCGAAAUUCCUUGUCGGGUAAGUUCCGACCCGCGCGAAAGGCGUAACGAUCUGGGCGCUGUCUCGGAGAGAGGCUCGGCGAAAUAGGAUUGUCUGUGAAGAUACGGACUACCUGCAUUUGGACAGAAAGACCCUAUGAAGCUUUACUAUAGCUUGGAAUUGUGUUCGGGCUUCCUGUGCGCAGGAUAGGUGGGAGGCGUAUAAGGUAUUCUUGUGGGGAUACUGGAGCCAACGGUGAGAUACCACUCUCAGGAGGCUAGAAUUCUAACUUAAUUAAGGACAGUUUCAGGUGGGUGGUUUGACUGGGGCGGUCGCCUCCAAAAAGGUAACGGAGGCGUACAAAGGUUCCCUCAGACUGGUUGGAAAUCAGUCGAAGAGUGCAAAGGCAGAAGGGAGCUUGACUGCGAGAAGUACAGUUCGAGCAGGGUGGAAACACGGUCUUAGUGAUCCGACGGUGCUGUGUGGAAGGGCCGUCGUUCAACGGAUAAAAGUUACUCUAGGAUAACAGGCUGAUCUCCCCCAAGAGUUCACAUCGACGGGGAGGUUUGGCACCUCGAUGUCGGCUCAUCGCAACCUGGGGCGGAAGUAUGUCCCAAGGGUUGGGCUGUUCGCCCAUUAAAGCGGUACGUGAGCUGGGUUCAGAACGUCGUGAGACAGUUCGGUCCAUAUCCGAUGUAGGCGUGAGAAUAUUGAGAGGAGCCUUCCUUAGUACGAGAGGACCGGGAAGGACGCACCGCUGGUGUACCUGUUAUGAUGCCAAUUGUAAACGCAGGGUAGCCAAGUGCGGAGAGGAUAACCGCUGAAAGCAUCUAAGUGGGAAGCCCACCUCAAGAUGAGUAUUCUGGUGUAAGGUCACGGGAAGACGACCCGUAAAUAGGCACGAGGUGGAAGUGCAGAGAUGUAUGAAGCCGAAGUGUACUAAUAGACCGUCGGCUUGACC